CUUGGUUAUUCCGGUUUUAGUGGUUUUUUCCCCUUGGUUCUUUAGGUUCUCUUGCUCUUCUAAUUUACUUCGUUCCCUUGCUUCUCCUUGUUCAAUUCGUCUUUUGGUUUUAUCGAUUCUUCUGGUUGUCUUUGUUCUUCUGGUUGUCUUGGCCUAUUUGUUCCCUUAGCUCUUCUUGUUUUCUUGGCUCUUCUGGUUCUGUUGCUUCGUCUGGUUCUCCUGGUCUUCUAGUUCUCUUGGUUCUUCUGAUCCACUUGGUUCUUCUGGUUCUCUUGAAUUCUAGUUCUUUCUGGUUUUUUGUUUUUUUAAUUGGUUCUCUUUCUUCUCUUUCUUCUUUUGUUUCUUGUAGUUCUCUCGAUUUUUCUAUUUUUGGUUCUUCUGGUUUUGUUAGUUCUUUUGGUUCUAGGUCCCUUAAUUCUUCUGGUUUUCUUUGUUCUUCUGGUUUUGUUAGUUAUGGUUGUUUUGCUUCUCGUGGUCCUUCUUGUUCCCUUGGUUCUUGAGGUUUUCUUGGCGUUUUUUUGUGGUUUUCUUUGCUCUUAUGGUUUUCUUGGUUCAUAUGGUUUUCUUGGUGUUUCUGAUUUCAUUGUUCUUCUAGUUCUCUUGGUUCUUAUGUUUCUCUUGGUUCUUCUGUUUCUUGGAAAUACAGAAAUUUGGAUUUACCAGGAGGAGUUACUGAAAAUCGCCCCUUGCGACUCCGGUACAGUGCUCUUACCAACUCAGCUGCCUAAACAUAUUCAGUUGACGAUCUUCAACCUCAAGUUCAUGUUAUAUAUGAACGAAAUGAAUUAGGAAAUGAAUUUAAUCAGUGAGUAGAAGAUAGUUCUACUAACUGCGAAAGCGGACAACGCGGGAAAAUUCAAUAGAAUCGCUCAUGUGCAACCGUGCGUAUUCCGCAGACACAACAUCGUGAUAUGACGAACCGCACUGCCUUAAUUAUUCAGUUUUUAUGUUCGCAAGUCGCCGUCGUGGAAUCAGGCCUUAAUAUGCACAGAAAAGUGCUCUGUCUUCAUGUCACAUGUUGUGGCAAGUAACAACAGCUCCUUACCAUUAAAU